UGCAGUCGAGCGGUAGGCCCUUCGGGGUACACGAGCGGCGAACGGGUGAGUAACACGUGAGCAACCUGCCCCCGACUCCGGGAUAAGCGGUGGAAACGCCGUCUAAUACCGGAUACGACACACCGCCUCAUGGCGGUGUGUGGAAAGUUUUUCGGUCGGGGAUGGGCUCGCGGCCUAUCAGCUUGUUGGUGGGGUAACGGCCUACCAAGGCGAUUACGGGUAGCCGGCCUGAGAGGGCGACCGGCCACACUGGGACUGAGACACGGCCCAGACUCCUGCGGGAGGCAGCAGUGGGGAAUAUUGCGCAAUGGGCGAAAGCCUGACGCAGCGACGCCGCGUGGGGGAUGACGGCCUUCGGGUUGUAAACCUCUUUUACCACCAACGCAGGCUCCCAGUUCUCUGGGGGUUGACGGUAGGUGGGGAAUAAGGACCGGCUAACUACGUGCCAGCAGCCGCGGUAAUACGUAGGGUCCGAGCGUUGUCCGGAAUUAUUGGGCGUAAAGAGCUCGUAGGCGGCGUGUCGCGUCUGCUGUGAAAGACCGGGGCUUAACUCCGGUUCUGCAGUGGAUACGGGCAUGCUAGAGGUAGGUAGGGGAGACUGGAAUUCCUGGUGUAGCGGUGAAAUGCGCAGAUAUCAGGAGGAACACCGGUGGCGAAGGCGGGUCUCUGGGCCUUACCUGACGCUGAGGAGCGAAAGCAU
rnacentral:rRNA from 1 species